rnacentral:rRNA from 1 species
GACGAACGCUGGCGGCGUGCUUAACACAUGCAAGUCGAACGGUGAAGCGCCUUUCUUUUUGGUGGGUGUGGAUGAGUGGCGAACUGGUGAGUAACACGUGAGUAACCUGCCCCCUUUUUCUGGAUAACCGCAUGAAAGUGUGGCUAAUACGGGAUAUUCUGGGUCUGUCGCAUGAUGGGUCUGGGAAAGAUCUUGUUUCGGUGGGGGGUGGGCUCUCGGCCUAUCAGGUUGUUGGUGGGGUGGUGGCCUACCAAGGCGGUGACGGGUGGCCGGGCUGAGAGGGUGAGCCGUCACACUGGGACUGCAACACGGACAAGACUACGACGGGAGGCAGCAGGGGGGAAUAGAGCACGAUGGGCGGAAGGAUGAUGCAGCGACGCCGCGGGGGGGAUGGUGGCCGGCGGGUUGUGAACCUCUUUCGGGAGUGAAGCGGGCUUGCCUCGUUUGUGGGUGGGUUGACGGUAGCUGGAGAAGAAGCGCCGGCUAACUACGUG